rnacentral:lncRNA from 1 species
AAGGUUUGGACUUUUAUAUUUCAAUUCAUUUCGAUCACAUUUGUGGUUGAUCAUGCAGUACCAUAUUUAUAUGAGCAUCAGCCUAUAAUGCGGUAGCAAAGAUUCAUAGACAAAUUGGUGUUGAUUUUUGGACUUUUGUGAUGGGAAAAAACAUUGUCUUUUGCUACGUGAUCAUGACCAAAAUUACCACCUCUGCUUGUAGCCAUUUUGGUAAAAGAACUUAUCUGAUUGCUUGCUAUUAUGUUGUUUUAAAAUGAAAAUUGUUGGAUCAUGAAGAGAGUGUAUAUUUAUGAUACUUACCAUGUUAGUGUUGUAACAUUGGGACUGCUGUUAGAGUUGAAUGCUUUCGCUGGGCACAUCUGGUUCUUGCAUGACCAUAUUUAUUUGUUCCUGACCUGCCUAGGCUAAGAUGGUUGAGACUAAUUUUUCUCUGUGACAAUAUUUUAAAUGUGCGUGUGGCUUUUGCGUUUUGCAUCCCAUGCAUAUUGAAGUUACUCGUAUCGAUGGGGUUAUUAUUCUUUGCCUUUUUACUUGGGUAUAAAACCAUAUAGAUCUUACUUUCUAAGUAUCUAUGACAAUAAAGUGAAUACGAUUAAAUAGAAUCAACUCUUACAAGGUGAAUCGCAUAUACCAUAUGGUGUUCUAAACCCAAAGUGAAUCAACCCUUUAGCUGGGUACAUCUGGUUCUUGCAUGACCAUAUUUAUUUGUUCCUGACCUGCCUAGGCUAAGAUGGUUGAGACUAAUUUUUCUCUGUGACAACAUUUUAAAUGUGAGUGUGGCUUUUGAGUUUUGCAUCCCAUGCAUAUUGAAGUUUACUCGUAUUGAUGGAGUUAUUAUUUUUUGCCUUUUUAUUUGGGUAUAAAACCAUAUAGAUCUUAUUUUCUAAGUAUCUAUGACAAUAAAGUGAAUAUGAUUAAAUAGAAUCAACUCUUACAAGGUGAAUGGCAUAUACCAUAUGGUGUUCUAAACCCAAAGUGAAGUUGGCUGCCUUCCAAUGAUAUUGAUUGUUUAGAGUACCAACAAAAAGGCAAGUUCUUUUUUUUUUUUGGUGCUACUCUAUUGGAAAUUAUAGAUGAGGAAGGAACGAGUUUAAAGAAGAUGGAUGAAAAGAAACAAGACAGCUGAUGAUGAUCUUUAAUGUGAUGAUAAGCACUUCUAUUUUUUCCCAGAAUGGCUCAUGGAGUAUAUUUCAAGUUGCUGUUGAUCUUUGUGGGAGUAUGUCUUUUGAUGGUUGCUAUUGUUGUUUUUGCAAAAUAAUCUUAGUAGUUGGCAGUUGUCUUCCUUGCUAUUUAAUUUACCUUGAAGGCAGUUUUGUUUGGGAUGAUUUCUUUGUACUCGGUCACUUAUGGUGAGCUGUUUUAGUUGUUGAUCUUCUUUUAGUAUUCAUGUUUUGUUAAGUACCUUUUUUAAUGCCUCCUUAAGCAAAUUAUUAGUGUUUAUAAAGUAGUAUAAUUAUACAAGUUCUAUUAGAUUUAUUUUUAGAUGAGUUGGAUCCUUAUACCUACCUGCGCUCUGAAAACCUUUGGCAACCAUGAGAUUCACUAAAUGUUCUAAUCUUAAAAGAUAAUGGAUUUAUUAAGAAUUUGUUUGAAAUUUUCGGAUUGUGAAAUAUUCCAUGCAUUUGGAAGAGUUUGUUAAUGAAUAUUCUUUGCAUUCUAGAAUCUAGAUACCACAAGGAAUUGAUGUUUGCAGACAUGUUCUGAGGUUGAGUUGGGAUCUUAGAUUGUUUUCCUGGUUUCUCAUUUCUGUGUUUUCACAUUGUUA